CCCGCACAAAGUCACGACGCCUCCGCUGUCCUCGAGACACUCCUCUGCACAAAGAGGCGCCAUUUUAAAAAAAUUUCAGUCGGAGCCGAGGAGCAACCGAUGGAAGUGGGAGGUGAGCGGCUUCGAGCCGCGCCGGCCGAGCACCCCCUUCGUCCGGCGGUACUCGAUCUCUGCCGCCGCCGCCGCCUCCGCCUCCUCGCCGCCCUCGCAGCUCCCGCUGGCCUCCAAGGUCCAGCGGCUCGCGGACAAUGUCCAGAGCGAUUUCCGGAUGCAGCUUGCGAGGUAGGAUUACUUGGAGCUGAGACAAGAGGCGAGCGAACUGCAGGAGUAUUCCAACGCGAAGCUCAAUCGAGUCACGCGCUACCUCGGCGUUCUCGCCGACAAGACGCGGAAAAUAGAUCAAAUCGCCCUUGAAGGUGAGGCUAGGUUAGCACCGCUCGUCAGUGAGAAGAGGAAGUUGUUCAAUGAGUUGUUGACAUCCAAAGAGUAAUUAUGAUAGAAAAGCAUCACCUUUUCUGGCAAAAGAAUUACUAAGAAUUUAUACAAAGGAGAAAAGUUGGAGGGAGCAACUCUGGAAAAAUGGCAUUGUAAAAUCAUCUCCAGUGCCACCACGGACACGUCCUGAAUGUGUGGGGACUGAGGAGGAUCCUAAGUGCAUUAUAUGUCAGCAAUAUCUUUAUCUUUCUGCAGUUGUAUGCGAUUGUAGGUCAUCUGCUUUUGUUUGUCUUGAGCACUGGCAACACAUCCGUGAAUGCAAACCCAGCAAACAUUGCAUCCUUUACCAUCAUACAUAAGCAUAGUUAAGUGACUUGCUGCUCACUGUCGAUAAAUACAAUGGUGAGGUGACUCAAAGGAGUAAGGUGCUCCAGCAAAGAUCUUUCUCCAGUGAAACAAGUUCUUCAGCGAAAAAGGUGUCUUGUCGCGGGAGCAUAUACAUAAAGAAGCUAAGGUCACCUGCUGGAGUUGAAUUUUAUUGAUUUCCCUAUGAGUGGCAUAUUGGUUCAAAACCACUUCAAUUAUUUUUUUUACAGCUGAUCUGAACCGUUUGCAAGAUGACGGUAAUUAGGCAAUCUGAAGUUCGCCAAUUGAACUCCGGAUCGAUGGCUGCUUGGAAAUGGUGCAGGAAUCUCUUCGACAUAGGUGUAUAUCUGUAGACUAGACCCUCAUAGUGUGUACAUGAAUGUAGCUUUAAAGAUUGUUAAAUGGUUGCGUGCUCAAAUUUAAUGGGCACAAAUUUGAUGUUAGAUGGUUGCCUGCUCACUAUUAUCUUGCUGUACAUAGACACAAGGUCAUUAUGAGUUAUGAAUGUGACCAAUGAUGUUGCACUGUCCAGUAAGUUCUCUUU